rnacentral:rRNA from 1 species
AUACGGAGGAUCCGAGCGUUAUCCGGAUUUAUUGGGUUUAAAGGGUGCGCAGGCGGCCAUUUAAGUCAGCGGUUAAAUCGUGGGGCUCAACCCCAUUCUGCCGUUGAUACUGGGUGGCUUGAUUGCGGUCGAGGUUGGCGGAAUUCGUUGUGUAGCGGUGAAAUGCAUAGAUAUGACGAAGAACACCGAUUGCGUAGGCAGCUGACCAGACCGCAAAUGACGCUCAUGCACGAAAGUGCGGGGAUCGAACAGGAUUAGAUACCCUGGUAGUCCGCAAAGUAAACGAUGAAUACUUGUUUUCGGCGAUAUAAUGUCGGAGGCAAAGCGAAAGCGAUAAGUAUUCCACCUGGGGAGUAAGCCGGCAACGGUGAAACUCAAAGGAAUUGACGGGG